CAGCCGCCGCGGUAAUACCGGCCCCGCGAGUGGUCGGGGUGAUUAUUGGGCCUAAAGCGUCCGUAGCCGGGCUGGUAAGUCCUCCGGGAAAUCUGGUCGCUUAACGAUCAGACUUCCGGAGGAUACUGCUGGCCUAGGGACCGGGAGAGGCCGAGGGUAUUCCCGGGGUAGGGGUGAAAUCCUGUAAUCCCGGGAGGACCACCUGUGGCGAAGGCGCUCGGCUGGAACGGGUCCGACGGUGAGGGACGAAGGCCAGGGGAGCGAACCGGAUUAGAUACCCGGGUAGUCCUGGCGGUAAACGAUGCGGACUAGGUGUCGGGCAAGCUAAGGGCUUGUCCGGUGCCGCAGGGAAGCCGUUAAGUCCGCCGCCUGGGGAGUACGGCCGCAAGGCUGAAACUUAAAGGAAUUGGCGGG
rnacentral:rRNA from 1 species